rnacentral:piRNA from 1 species
UUGACCAAAGGAGCCAAAAUGCGGUGAC